GGCAUAUUGAGAUUUGUGGUGUAGUGGUAGAGCACGCGUUCCCGGAGAGGAUGAAACGCGGGUUCGAUUCCCGCCUUAGGCCG